AUUCCAGCUCCAAUAGCGUAUAUUAAUGUUCUUGCAGUUAAAAAGCUCGUAGUUGGAUUUCUGGUCGGGACGUCUGGCCGGCUCCGCAAGGGGUCGUUGCAUUGACUGUACUCGUCCAUCCUCAGGUUGACUAGCUCUGGUAUUUAUUUAUCGGUGUUAGAACGUCUGUCGUUUACUGUGAACAAAUUAGAGUGUUCAAAGCAAGGUGUACUUGAAUACAUUAGCAUGGAAUAAUAAGAUAGGACUUUGGUGGUUCUUUUUGAUAUUUUGUUGGUUUGCACGCCAAAGUAAUGAUUAAUAGGAGCAGUUGGGGGUAUUCGUAUUCAAUUGUCAGAGGUGAAAUUCUUGGAUUUAUAGAAGACGAACUACUGCGAAAGCAUUUACCAAGGAUGUUUUCAUUA
rnacentral:rRNA from 1 species